GUGUUGUACUGAAGUACAGAACCAAAGUACAUGUACCUCAGUGUUGUACUGAAGUACAGAACCAGAGUACAUGUACUCAGUGUUAUACUGAAGUAUAUGUAUGAAGUGUUGUACUGAACCAGAAUACAUGUACUCAGUGUUGUACUGAAGUAUAUGUACUCACUGUUGUACUGAACCAGAGUACAUGUACUCAGUGUUGUACUGAAGUACAGAACCAGAGUACAUGUACUCAGCUGCUCUCCACCACUGCAGACUCAUGAAUUAUUAAUUGAACUGAUUUUCAUCCAUGAGCUGAUGAUGAAGCUGCAGCUGCUGAAAACAUAUUGUGUUGAUGUGGAUCAGAUGUACAUGAAGAACAAGUUCUCAGUGGGAGGAGUCAGAGGUCAGAUCUCAGCUGUGGGUUUGAGCUGGCCAGUGACAUCAUGUACAGUAGUGAUGACAUCAGAGAGUGUGACAAUAUCACAAACGAUCCUCUGAGGAACCAGAGAAGAAUCAGGAGAAGAAGACGUGAAGCAACGUGCUGCAUUGAGGGAGGACGAGGAAGACGAGAGGACGACGAGAGGAAGAGGAGAGGACGACGAGAGGACGACGAGAGGACGACGAGAGGACGACGAGAGGACGAGGAGAGGACGACGAGAGGAAGAGAGGAAGAGGAGAGGACGACGAGAGGACGACGAGAGGACGACGAGAGGAAGAGGAGAGGAACGAGAGGGAACGACUAGAGGAAGAGGAGAGGACGAGAGAGGACGAGAGGACGACGAGAGGAAGAGGAGAGGACAACGAGAGGAAGACGAGAGGACGACGAGAGGAAGAGGAGAGGACGACGAGAGGAAGACGAGAGGACGACGAGAGGACGACGAGAGGAAGAGGAGAGGACGACGAGAGGACGACGAGAGGACGACGAGAGGAAGAGGAGAGGACGACGAGAGGAAGAGGAGAGGAAGAGGAGAGGACGACGAGAGGACGACGAGAGGAAGAGGAGAGGACGACGAGAGGACGACGAGAGGAAGAGGAGAGGACGACGAGAGGAAGACGAGAGGACGACGAGAGGAAGAGGAGAGGACGACGAGAGGAAGACGAGAGGAAGACGAGAGGACGACGAGAGGACGACGAGAGGACGAGAGGAAGAGGAGAGGACGACGAGAGGACGACGAGAGGAAGAGGAGAGGACGACGAGAGGAAGACGAGAGGAAGACGAGAGGACGACGAGAGGAAGAGGAGAGGACGACGAGAGGAAGAGGAGAGGACGACGAGAGGAAGACGAGAGGAAGAGGAGAGGAAGAGGAGAGGACGACGAGAGGACGAGAGGAAGAGGAGAGGACGACGAGAGGAAGACGAGAGGACGAGAGGAAGACGAGAGGACGAGAGGAAGAGGAGAGGACGACGAGAGGAAGACGAGAGGACGACGAGAGGAAGACGAGAGGAAGACGAGAGGAAGACGAGAGGACGACGAGAGGAAGACGAGAGGAAGAGGAGAGGACGACGAGAGGAAGACGAGAGGAAGACGAGAGGACGACGAGAGGACGACGAGAGGACGACGAGAGGAAGAGGAGAGGAAGAGGAGAGGAAGACGAGAGGAAGACGAGAGGACGACGAGAGGACGACGAGAGGAAGACGAGAGGAAGAGGCGAGGACGACGAGAGGAAGAGGAGAGGACGACGAGAGGAAGACGAGAGGACGACGAGAGGAAGACGAGAGGACGACGAGAGGACGACGAGAGGACGACGAGAAGAGGAGAGGAACGAGAGGACGACGAGAGGAAGAGGAAGAGGACGACGAGAGGAAGAGGAGAGGAAGAGGAGAGGACGACGAGAGGACGACGAGAGGAAGAGGAGAGGACGACGAGAGGAAGAGGAGAGGACGACGAGAGGAAGACGAGAGGACGACGAGAGGACGACGAGAGGAAGACGAGAGGAAGACGAGAGGACGACGAGAGGAAGACGAGAGGACGACGAGAGGACGACGAGAGGAAGAGGAGAGGACGACGAGAGGAAGACGAGAGGACGACGAGAGGACGACGAGAGGAAGACGAGAGGAAGACGAGAGGAAGACGAGAGGAAGACGAGAGGACGACGAGAAGGAAGAGGAGGACGACGAGAGGACGACGAGAGGACGACGAGAGGAAGACGAGAGGAAGACGAGAGGACGACGAGAGGACGACGAGAGGAAGAGGAGAGGACGACGAGAGGAAGACGAGAGGACGACGAGAGGAAGACGAGAGGAAGACGAGAGGACGACGAGAGGAAGACGAGAGGAAGACGAGAGGAAGACGAGAGGACGCGAGAGGACGACGAGGAAGGACGAGAGGAAGACGAGAGGAAGACGAGAGGAAGCGAGCGAGCGGAGGAAAGGAAACGAGUGCAGAGAGAAUAAAGUUUCUAUUAAUAAACCUGAAAGAGCCCAUUUGGACGAGCUUAUGGAAAAUAAAAGAGAGGAAAAACAAAGAGGGAGAAUAGUAAGAAAAGACAAAGAGAGGGAGAC
rnacentral:lncRNA from 1 species